rnacentral:rRNA from 2 species
CGCCUGAGUAGUAUGCUCGCAAGAGUGAAACUUAAAGGAAUUGACGGGAACCCGCACAAGCGGUGGAGCAUGUGGUUUAAUUUGAAGAUACGCGUAGAACCUUACCCACUCUUGACAUCUUCUGCAAAGCUAUAGAGAUAUAGUGGAGGUUAACAGAAUGACAGAUGGUGCAUGGUUGUCGUCAGCUCGUGUCGUGAGAUGUUAGGUUAAGUCCUGCAACGAGCGCAACCCUUUUCUUUAGUUACUAAUAUUAAGUUAAGGACUCUAGAGAUACUGCCUGGGUAACCAGGAGGAAGGUGGGGACGACGUCAAAUCAUCAUGCCUCUUACGAGUGGGGCAACACACGUGCUACAAUGGUCGGUACAAAGAGAAGCAAUAUGGUGACAUGGAGCAAAUCUCAAAAAACCGAUCUCAGUUCGGAUUGAAGUCUGCAACUCGACUUCAUGAAGUCGGAAUCGCUAGUAAUCGUAGAUCAGCUACGCUACGGUGAAUACGUUCUCGGGUUUUGUACACACCGC